rnacentral:tRNA from 1 species
GUGUGUGGGCUCAGUGGUUAGAGCGUAGCUCUCGCAACCGAAUGCUCGCGGGAUCGAAUCCCGCUAGAGGCAGACA